GACGAACGCUGGCGGCGUGCUUAACACAUGCAAGUCGAACGGUAAGGCCCUUCGGGGUACACGAGUGGCGAACGGGUGAGUAACACGUGGGUGAUCUGCCCUGCACUUCGGGAUAAGCCUGGGAAACUGGGUCUAAUACCGGAUACGACCAAUGCCUGCAUGGGUGGUGGUGGAAAGCUCUUUCGGUGUGGGAUGGGCCCGCGGCCUAUCAGCUUGUUGGUGGGGUGAUGGCCUACCAAGGCGACGACGGGUAGCCGGCCUGAGAGGGUGACCGGCCACACUGGGACUGAGAUACGGCCCAGACUCCUACGGGAGGCAGCAGUGGGGAAUAUUGCACAAUGGGCGCAAGCCUGAUGCAGCGACGCCGCGUGAGGGAUGACGGCCUUCGGGUUGUAAACCUCUUUCAGCACCGACGAAGCGCAAGUGACGGUAGGUGCAGAAGAAGGACCGGCCAACUACGUGCCAGCCGCCGCCGUAA
rnacentral:rRNA from 1 species